rnacentral:rRNA from 1 species
UAUGGGGGUCAUUGAUUGUUAACUGAAGCCCGUCUGAUCUCGGAAGCUAAGCAGGGUCGGGCCUGGUUAGUACUUGGAUGGGAGACUACCUAGGAAGACCAGGUGCUGUAG